ACACAUGCAGUCGACGGUAACGAUAGAAGCUUGCUUCUAGGCGACGAGUGGCGGACGGGUGAGUAAUACUUAGGAAUCUGCCCAGUAGAGGGGGAUAACAGCCGGAAACGAUUGCUAAUACCGCAUACGUCCUACGGGGGAAAGCAGGGGAUCUUCGGGCCUUGCACUAUUGGAUGAGCCUAAGUCAGAUUAGCUUGUUGGUGGGGUAAUAGCUUACCAAGGCAACGAUCUGUAGCUGGUCUGAGAGGAUGAUCAGCCACACUGGAACUGAGACACGGUCCAGACUCCUACGGGAGGCAGCAGUGGGGAAUAUUGCACAAUGGGCGCAAGCCUGAUGCAGCAAUGUCGCGUGUGUGAAGAAGGCCUGCGGGUUGUAAAGCACUUUCAGUAAGGAGGAAAACUUUAGGGUUAAUACCCUUGAAGUCUGACGUUACUUACAGAAGAAGGACCGGCUAACUCCGUGCCAGCAGCCGCGGUAAUACGGAGGGUUCGAGCGUUAAUCGGAAUUACUGGGCGUAAAGGGUGCGUAGGCGGCAUGGUCAGUCGGAUGUGAAAUCCCCAGGCUUAACCUGGGAAUUGCAUUCGAUACUACCAAGCUAGAGUAUGUUAGAGGAAAGUGGAAUUCCCGGUGGAGCGGUGAAAUGCGUAGAUAUCGGGAGGAACAUCAGUGGCGAAGGCGACUUUCUGGAACAAUUACUGACGCUGAGGUACGAAAGCGUGGGUAGCAAACAGGAUUAGAUACCCUGGUAGUCCACGCCCUAAACGAUGUCAACUAGCCGUUGGGUUCAUUUUAAGGACUCAGUGUCGUAGCUAACGCGUUAAGUUGACCGCCUGGGGAGUACGACCGCAAGGUUAAAACUCAAAUGAAUUGACGG
rnacentral:rRNA from 1 species